GGAUUAACAGGUUGAAUUCUGUCUCCCUAAAAUGAUACUGACGUUUUGACCCCCAGGACCUACGAAUGUGACCGUAUUUGGAGCUUCCAGAUUCCAGAACCGUGAGACAAAAACAUGUCCGAUGUCUGGGCCACCCAGUUUGUGGAGCUGGUUACAGCGGCUCUAGCGAGCAACUCCAGGAAAACCCUGGAAACAGCCUACGUGCCUGUCAACCCCCACCCCCCGCCAUGGAUUGGCUGGAAUAAACUUGGAUACAUCCGC